GAUGAACGCUGGCGGCGUGCUUAACACAUGCAAGUCGAACGGACGGAGGGAGCUUGCUCCCAAAGUUAGUGGCGGACGGGUGAGUAACGCGUGGGUAACCUACCCUAUGCAGGGGGAUAACAUUUGGAAACAAAUGCUAAUACCGCAUAACCUAAGAGUUUCGCAUGAAACACUUAGCAAAGAUUUAUCGGCAUAGGAUGGACCCGCGUUGGAUUAGCUAGUUGGUGAGGUAAUAGCCCACCAAGGCAACGAUCCAUAGCCGGCCUGGGAGGGUGAACGGCCACACUGGGACUGAGACACGGCCCAGACUCCUACGGGAGGCAGCAGUGGGGAAUAUUGCACAAUGGGCGCAAGCCUGAUGCAGCGACGCCGCGUGAAGGAUGAAUGUCUUCGGAUUGUAAACUUCUAUCAGCAGGGAAGAAUACCAUGACGGUACCUGACUAAGAAGCCCCGGCUAACUACGUGCCAGCAGCCGCCGUAACAC
rnacentral:rRNA from 1 species